rnacentral:rRNA from 1 species
UCAACCGAGAUUCCCCCAGUAGCGGCGAGCGAACGGGGAGCAGCCCAGAGCCUGAAUCAGUGUGUGUGUUAGUGGAAGCGUCUGGAAAGGCGCGCGAUACAGGGUGACAGCCCCGUACACAAAAAUGCACAUAUUGUGAGCUCGAUGAGUAGGGCGGGACACGUGGUAUCCUGUCUGAAUAUGGGGGGACCAUCCUCCAAGGCUAAAUACUCCUGACUGACCGAUAGUGAACCAGUACCGUGAGGGAAAGGCGAAAAGAACCCCGGCGAGGGGAGUGAAAAAGAACCUGAAACCGUGUACGUACAAGCAGUGGGAGCACGCUUCGGCGUGUGACUGCGUACCUUUUGUAUAAUGGGUCAGCGACUUAUAUUCUGUAGCAAGGUUAACCGAAUAGGGGAGCCGAAGGGAAACCGAGUCUUAACUGGGCGUUAAGUUGCAGGGUAUAGACCCGAAACCCGGUGAUCUAGCCAUGGGCAGGUUGAAGGUUGGGUAACACUAACUGGAGGACCGAACCGACUAAUGUUGAAAAAUUAGCGGAUGACUUGUGGCUGGGGGUGAAAGGCCAAUCAAACCGGGAGAUAGCUGGUUCUCCCCGAAAGCUAUUUAGGUAGCGCCUCGUGAAUUCAUCUCCGGGGGUAGAGCACUGUUUCGGCAAGGGGGUCAUCCCGACUUACCAACCCGAUGCAAACUGCGAAUACCGGAGAAUGUUAUCACGGGAGACACACGGCGGGUGCUAACGUCCGUCGUGAAGAGGGAAACAACCCAGACCGCCAGCUAAGGUCCCAAAGUCAUGGUUAAGUGGGAAACGAUGUGGGAAGGCCCAGACAGCCAGGAUGUUGGCUUAGAAGCAGCCAUCAUUUAAAGAAAGCGUAAUAGCUCACUGGUCGAGUCGGCCUGCGCGGAAGAUGUAACGGGGCUAAACCAUGCAC